GGGAGUGCUAUGUGGACGAGCAUGGGACCUGUGGGAUGUGCUCCUACUUCUUAUAAUAAUGAUUGUAAUUAUUUUGAUGUACUUCAUUCUCAUUAUUGUUCUCCAUCAGUACAAGUACAUUUAGCAAGUUUGGGGUCAUUAAGAUUUUUGUUUUGUUUGAGAUGUUUAUUUUGGUAAUUAUGUAAGUAAAAAAUAUUAUUUAUAAGAUUUUGUUUUUCAAUUUGGUUUCCUUUAUUAAAACAGUUCAAACUGCAAAAAGUUUAUUUUUAUUCCCUGAUUUUGUGUGCUGCAGAACAACUGUAAAAUAAAUGUUUUCAUCACCCUUCCUGUACAGAGCCAAGGCACACACUGACAAUAACAACAACAACAACUACAACAACACUAACAGACAGAACGAUGAUGUGGAAGAGCCAAGACGCCUGUGUGCUUGUCUGGGGUCUUAUAAUUAUUAAUCAUGCAAAUAAAUGAUCAUGAAAUUUGGGUGGGGUUAUGUUUAGGGCUUAGGAUCAAGGAUAGGUUUAGGAUUUGGAAUUAUGGUUAUGUUUACGGCCUGGAUAAGGGUGAAGGGUUAAGUUUAGGGCUUAAGAUCUGGGUUGGGUUUAGGGUUACAAAUCAUCAUAGCCAAAUCCUAAGUGUGCUGGGGUGCAGAUCCCAUCAGGUGCCACCGGAGGGCAGGCGCUGCCCCUAACCUGGCAGCACAAGUGAUGCCACACCACAUAUGACUCAACCUGUAGCGGGUUUCCACAGAGAGUUUCUAAGUGUGUUGGUGUGCAGGAGGAUUCCUGAUUACAAGUCUAUUUGAUAAGUUUUUAAUUAUAUUUGUAUAUGUAUAUAAGAAAUCAUGUAUCACUUCAUCUCUUUGUUCAUUUAUUUUAAUUAAUCAACUGUAUACAGAUAGUCAAGUGAAUUUUUGCUCUUUUCAAAGAUUAAUUGAGCAGGAAGGAAACGUUGGGGUCAAAGGUCAAGGUAUGUAUACAUGUACAUAUUAAAUUGUUUGUUUGUUUCUGACUUGAUAUAUUCAUUUUUCAUUAAUCAACCGUAUCAUUAGACAGACAUGUCUAUUUUCUUUUCUUUUCUGGCAGAUUGAGAUCAUGUCGGCUCCCGCAAGUCUGUCUCCCCCACACCAGACCACAGAUACUGUUAUGGUUUGGUUUAUUAUGUCUUUGUUGUUGUGCUUCUCUUUUUGUUCUCUCUCUUCCCCCUCCCCUUUCUGUUCUCUUGCAGAGCUUGUGUGGGGCAGGGUGGUGUGGCUGGCUUCCUCCUGUUGGCACACCUGUUUUCACUCAGGCCAUUCCCUCCACUUCAUUAGCCCGGUCUCUUCUCCGGCUCUCUGCUGUUCUGCUACUUACCCACGUCUAGUUUUGCCUGUGCAAGUCUUCUGAAGACAUCCUCCUGCCAGCCAGCUCCUUGCCUCACCUGCCCGUUUCAGUUCCGGUUUUGUUUUGGAUAACUAUUAAAUAUCUUCAGUUCCCACACACCAGAGACUGUGUCUUUGCUUUGGGGUCCAAGUCUCUAGAGAACCUAACAGAUACCACAGCCUUCUUCACGUGGCCUCCAAGACUCUCGAAGUCAUUGGCGAGAUUCAGUGGCGCUCCCUCUGCUAUUCGAUACACCUGAAGGUGCACUGAGAGCACGGCAUGCCCCGGAUGGAAACAGUGUUACAGAGGCUCCUAAAGGAGAUGAAGAGAGGUUUGCUCCUGAAGACCCUGACCUUCAUCUCCUGUGUGGCCAUCAUCCAGAAUGGAGAUAAAUGUGCUUGGGGGGCGUGUCGCAGGCGGGGUUGCAGCAGCUACAGAUCCAGGGGGAAUACAAGAAGAAGAAGAAUCUCAGGAUUUGGAGCCUGCAUCCAACCGUCCCCUACAAGCACUCCACCAUCCCAUCCCUGUGACCACCACCGAGUGAGGAGAAGGAGGAGAAGGCCUAACUAUAAGCUUUGUCAAAAAGGAAGGUCUUAAAUCUACUCUUAAAGUUGAAGAGGGUGUCUGCCUCCCAGACUGAAACUGGAAGAUGAUUCGACCAAAGAUGAGCUUGAUAACUGAAGGCUUUUGCUCCUAUUCUGUUUUUUAAGACUUAGAAGUGGAUGGUGCUUUGUUUCAAGCAAAGCAGGCCCACUACGUGCAAAGGCUGAGAGAGUUGAGGGCAACAAACCCAAUGCCACCAAUGGUGUCCAGGCUGGACCUUGACCUUAAGUUGGCCAACUGCAUUGAAGAAGGCUGGGUAUAAACCAACAUCAGUCAAGAAUAUGCUCAGCAACGCAAAGACCUUCCCCUCCCACGUAGAGCUCUUUCACUGAAAAGAAAACCUCCUGACAGCCACCCGGAUUGGCCAAAGACUGCAUCAAGAGACUGCAGUCGGACUUUCUGGGGGAAACUGGUCAGUGCCUCGGAGGAGCAAACAUUCAUCAUGGUGGCAACGAUGAGGACCCCUGCUCUGCUGAAGCAAAUGCAGGAAAAGGUACAAUUGGUCACCGUAGAGCUCCUGCAGGGUUACCUUAUCGUCACUGGACACUGGCCAGUGGUGUACUGCAGCCUGACAAAGAAAGAGGUCUGGGAGCGAGAAGAAAAGGAGGGCUUUUACAUGGUGUGGAUUGAGAGUAACAAGACCCAGGCCACAUAUGGGCACGCCCAGAUGGUAUUCAUCAGAGUGCUCGAUUGAGUCUACCCAAAAGUGCCUCUUGUUUUCCAUAAUAUGGAGGGAAAAGAGCACUGGAAGCUGGGCCUUCUGCUGAAUGCGGCGUGGAGCGACUCAGGACUCACCAGUACUGUGACAUUCAACCAGAUCCACUCCAGGGUGAGAAGUCAGGAGGCCAUGGAGGUUUGCAGCCUGAGGAUGAAAGCCCUCAUGGAGGAAACGGUGGACCCGCAUCCUGCCUCCACCUCAGACUCUGGGGGUGAGGAACCAAUGUAUGCUGACAGCAUGUACUCUGUGUCUGAGCUCUCUGAAGGAGAGAAGGAGUUAAUGAAGAUGAGAAGGCGGCUUUUCGGAGCAGCAGGGAGGGAAGAAAAGCAAAGGAAAGAAGGACAAGGGUCAGAAAGAUGAGGAGACGUGCCCAAGCCUUUGAAUCAGACACCGACCCUGAGUGCCUGAUGAUCAUGACGGAUGCAGCGGAAAAGCAGGGAUCAGAAAUGGAAACAUUUUACUGAAUAGAAGAGGAGGGGCAGCGUGCACACGGACCAAGGGAGGGGAAAUUGUCUAGGUUCCCAUCCAAUUGAGGAUUUGUAGUUAAGCAUUGCUGAGUGGAGUGAUAUAUUUUAUAUCUGUAUAUAUUGUACUUAUGUAUAUUUUAAAUCUGUAGAUAUUUUAUAUCUGUAUACAUUAUCAAUUAUUUUAUAUCUGUAUAUAUUUAUUUAUUUUAUAUAUUUUGUUGUGCCUGUGCUGCAGGGGCUGUAAGAUAUGUGGAACUGGGACAUUAACACAUGCUGCCUCACCUCCUGGAGGUGAAAGGUCAAACUAUAUAGAAACUUAGUAAUCAUGUCAUCAGAACUUCUCAUCUUCUCUGCAGGUUAGAGGUUGUCAGUUGGGAGCAAAAACCUACAGAAAAUAGUAACAAUAUGAUGCCUGGAAAUGUGGACUACAGUCAGACAACUGAAAUUACAGUUAAAUGAAACGGCUGCAAAGAGUUUUUGUAAGAAAAGUUUUCAUUUCCAUCAAAUUGUAGGAGCAGUGACAGUACAAAAGGUCUUGCAUUGUAUAAAUAGAAAAAUAGAUUAAGAUUAUGAUAAAAUUUUAAAAAAUCUAAUAAAACGCUUGUCGCUCA